GCACCUUCGGGUGUGAAUUAGCGGCGAACGGGUGAGGAACACGUGAGAAAUCUGCCUUCAACACUGGGAUAACUCCGGGAAACCGGGGCUAAUACCGGAUAUGAAACCUGCGGGCAUCCGCGGGUUUGGAAAGUUUUUCGGUUGAAGAUGAUCUCGCGGCCUAUCAGCUUGUUGGUGAGGUAAUGGCUCACCAAGGCGACGACGGGUAGCCGGCCUGAGAGGGCGACCGGCCACACUGGGACUGAGACACGGCCCAGACUCCUACGGGAGGCAGCAGUGGGGAAUAUUGGGCAAUGGAGGAAACUCUGACCCAGCGACGCCGCGUGCGGGAUGAAGGCCUUCGGGUUGUAAACCGCUUUCAGCAGGGAAGAAGCGAAAGUGACGGUACCUGCAGAAGAAGCACCGGCUAACUAUGUGCCAGCAGCCGCGGUAAUACAUAGGGUGCAAGCGUUGUCCGGAAUUAUUGGGCGUAAAGAGCUCGUAGGUGGUUCGU
rnacentral:rRNA from 1 species